UACGUAGGGUGCGAGCGUUAAUCGAAAUUACUGGGCGUAAAGCGUGCGCAGGCGGUUCGUUAAGUUCGUUGUGAAAGCCCCGGGCUCAACCUGGGAACUGCAAUGGAAACUGGCGGGCUUGAGUGUGGCAGAGGGGGGUGGAAUUCCGCGUGUAGCAGUGAAAUGCGUAGAGAUGCGGAGGAACACCGAUGGCGAAGGCAGCCCCCUGGGCCAACACUGACGCUCAGGCACGAAAGCGUGGGGAGCAAACAGG
rnacentral:rRNA from 1 species